UGCGCAGGUGGCUGAGCAAGUCGAGUGUGAAAUCCCCGGGCUUAACUUGGGAAUUGCGCUCGAAACUACUUGGCUCGAGUGUGGCAGAGGAAGGUGAAUUCCAGGUGUAGCGGUGAAAUGCGUAGAGAUCUGGAGGAACACCGAUGGCGAAGGCAGCCUUCUGGGCCAACACUGACGCUCAUGCACGAAAGCGUGGGAGCAAACA
rnacentral:rRNA from 1 species